rnacentral:tRNA from 1 species
GUUAAUGUAGCUUAAUAUAUAAAGCAAAGCACUGAAAAUGCUUAGACGAGCCCACCUGCUCCAUAAACA